AUUGAACGCUGGCGGCAGGCUUAACACAUGCAAGUCGAGCGGGGUGAUGGUGCUUGCACUAUCACUUAGCGGCGGACGGGUGAGUAAUGCUUAGGAAUCUGCCUAUUAGUGGGGGACAACAUCUCGAAAGGGAUGCUAAUACCGCAUACGUCCUACGAGAGAAAGCAGGGGAUCACUUGUGACCUUGCGCUAAUAGAUGAGACUAAGUCGGAUUAGCUAGUUGGUGGGGUCAAGGCCUACCAAGGCGACGAUCUGUAGCGGGUCUGAGAGGAUGAUCCGGCACACUGGGACUGAGCCACGGCCCAGACUCCUACGGGUGGCAGCAGUGGGGAAUAUUGGACAAUGGGGGGAACCCUGAUCCAGCCAUGCCGCGUGUGUGAAGAAGGCCUUAUGGUUGUAAAGCACUUUAAGCGAGGAGGAGGCUCUUUUGGUUAAUACCCAAGAUGAGUGGACGUUACUCGCAGAAUAAGCACCGGCUAACUCUGUGCCAGCCGCCGCCGUAA
rnacentral:rRNA from 1 species